UACGUAGGGGGCCAGCGUUGUUCGGAAUUACUGGUGUAAAGGGUUCGUAGGCGGUGCGGCAAGUUGGGAGUGAAAUCUCUGGGCUUAACCCAGAGGCUGCUUUCAAAACUGCUGUGCUUGAGUGUGAGAGAGGCUCGUGGAAUUGCAGGUGUAGCGGUGAAAUGCGUAGAUAUCUGCAGGAACACCCGUGGCGAAAGCGGCGAGCUGGAUCACUACUGACGCUGAGGAACGAAAGCUAGGGGAGCAAACAGG
rnacentral:rRNA from 1 species